CUGAAACAUAACUUUACUGCCUUCCAGACGAGAAUGUGACAUUCAUUUUCUAUUAAGAAAUGAGCCCAUUUGAAUUCUGCUUGUUCAACUUUUCUUAACCAGAAGUCCAUUCCUGGAUCCUUCAUCUCUACAAAUCCCAUCGCGAAAUCUUCCCGACAGUCUCACGUUUGAACCAAUGACCCUCAUCUCUUACUGUCAUCAAUUUACUCUUCUUAAUUUCUGUUCUCAUUUUAUUUGUACAAUAUAAUUCAAAACCAG
rnacentral:lncRNA from 1 species